GGAACUGCUGAGUCACAGCCUGAAACUCUGAUUGAUCACCUGCAGAGAGCCAUGAGUCAGCCAGAGGAGCACAGGUGAAGGCAAUUCAGCUGUGCUGCCCGAAGGGGUACAGCCUGGCUCCACCCCUCCUAGACCUAUUUAAGAGCUGGCUACCAGUGGGGAAGGAUCACUUCUGGAGAUCGCCUCUACUGGUGUUUUGUGGUGAGCCCAGGAUAGGGACGGUAAUCACAGGAAGUGGCAUUCACAUCUUCGGCGAUGGCUUAGCAAUAGGUUCUGCUGUUGGGUUCAGCUAGGUAAUAAUGUACACAGCGUUAAUGCCCACCAGGGUACUUCCGGUGCAAUCAAAAAGUAUCAGCAUGUGUGUUUUAAAAAA